rnacentral:tRNA from 1 species
CCUUUCUAGGAACGCGGCGGAAGCGUCGGACCUCGGUUCGAAAGAGCUUCCUCCCAUUCCAAAGACAUUCCAAUCCGCCGUCCUCAUGUCCCUUCAUCGACUGGAACCAACGAGACGCACUGGCUGAAAGCCAGAGCGCACGUUGGUCAGUUCGGCCAGCGCGGCGAAGCGCGCCGUUGGGUCCCAUCAAAGUAUUACUUUGAUGGGUGCCCCAUAAGGCGCAGCUUUGCUGCGACUGACGGCGCGACGGGUGCGGGCCGGUAGCUCAGGUGGAUAGAGCGCACGCCUGAUAAGCGUGAGGUCGUAGGUUCAACUCCUACUCGGCCCACCAUCGUGGAGUGUACGGGGCCUUACAUCAGCUGGAAGAGCGUAGGCUUUGCAAGUAUCAUGUCAUCGGAUCGAUCCCGAUAGGCUCCACCACUCUUAUGUCUUACGAUAUCCGGUGUGAUCAAGACAACACUUCCAUUGUGAAAGCAGCGAUUGCGAGGUGUGCGCACCUCAUCUGUGACAGUGUGAAUGGGUUUUUAAAAUAGAUGCCGUGAAGGUGUCGGCUUUAAGGGAGGCGAGGCCGCAAGGCCAAGUCAAACGAACAGGCUGGCAAUUCACAAUAUCUGGCGGAGUAUUUAAUGACCACACCAAUAUGCCACAUCGCGCUGCUCUGCCGAGUUGGUUUGUCGAGAGACAAGCCCAGCGUUGAUGGAGGUGGUGUGGGCUCUCAAGCGUGAGGUA